rnacentral:rRNA from 1 species
GAUAAACGCUGGCGGCGUGCCUAAUGCAUGCAAGUCGAACGGUGGUCGCAAGACCAUAGUGGCAAACGGGUGAGUAACACGUGGGAAUCUGCCCAAGAGUGGGGAACAACUCCUCGAAAGAGGAGCUAAUACCGCAUACGGUCUUUCGCAAGACUAAAGUCCUUCGGGACGCUUUUGGAGGAGCCUGCGGCUGAUUAGCUAGUUGGUGGGGUAAAGGCCUACCAAGGCGAUGAUCAGUAGCUGGUCUGAGAGGAUGGACAGCCACACUGGGACUGAG